rnacentral:rRNA from 1 species
UACGUAGGGUGCGAGCGUUUAAUCGGAAUUACUGGGCGUAAAGCGUGCGCAGGCGGUUGUGCAAGACAGAUGUGAAAUCCCCGGGCUUAACCUGGGAAUUGCAUUUGUGACUGCACGGCUAGAGUGUGUCAGAGGGGGGUAGAAUUCCACGUGUGAGCAGUGAAAUGCGUAGAGUAUGUGGAGGAAUACCGAUGGCGAAGGCAGCCCCCUGGGACUAACACUGACGCCUG